AAUGAACGCUGGCGGCAGGCCUAACACAUGCAAGUCGAACGGAGUUAUAUUGUAGCCUGCUAUGGUAUAACUUAGUGGCAGACGGGUGAGUAAUGUAUAGGAAUCUACCUAGUAGUACGGAAUAAUUGUUGGAAACGGCAACUAAUACCGUAUACGCCCUACGGGGGAAAAAUUUAUUGCUAUUAGAUGAGCCUAUAUUAGAUUAGCUAGUUGGUGGAGUAAUAGCCUACCAAGGCAAUGAUCUAUAGCUGAUCUGAGAGGAUGAUCAGCCACACUGGAACUGAGAUACGGUCCAGACUCCUACGGGAGGCAGCAGUGGGGAAUAUUGGACAAUGGGCGAAAGCCUGAUCCAGCCAUGCCGCAUGAGUGAAGAAGGCCCUUGGGUUGUAAAGCUCUUUUAGUGAGGAAGAUAAUGACGGUACUCACAGAAGAAGUCCUGGCUAACUCCGUGCCAGCAGCCGCGGUAAUACGGAGAGGGCUAGCGUUAUUCGGAAUUAUUGGGCGUAAAGGGCGCGUAGGCGGAUUAGUAAGUUAAAAGUGAAAUCCCAAGGCUCAACCUUGGAAUUGCUUUUAAAACUGCUAAUCUAGAGAUUGAAAGAGGAUAGAGGAAUUCCUAGCGUAGAGGUGAAAUUCGUAAAUAUUAGGAGGAACACCAGUGGCGAAGGCGUCUAUCUGGUUCAAAUCUGACGCUGAGGCGCGAAGGCGUGGGGAGCAAACAGGAUUAGAUACCCUGGUAGUCCACGCUGUAAACGAUGAAUGUUAAAUAUGGGAAGUUUUACU
rnacentral:rRNA from 1 species